rnacentral:rRNA from 1 species
AACGAACGCUGGCGGCGUGGAUAAGACAUGCAAGUCGAACGCUUGUACCGGAGUAGCAAUAUUUCGGUGCAGGAGUGGCGCAAGGGUGCGUAACACGUGGGUUAUUUGCCGUGAAGCUGGGAACAACUCGUUGAAAGACGAGCUAAUACCCAAUGUGCUCCGCAAGGAGUAAAGCCGGGGACCGCAAGGCCUGGCACUUCACGAUAAGCCCGCGGCCUAUCAGCUAGUUGGCGGGGUAAAAGCCCACCAAGGCGAAGACGGGUAGCUGGUCUGAGAGGACGACCAGCCACACUGGAACUGAGACACGGUCCAGACACCUACGGGUGGCAGCAGUCGAGAAUUUUUCACAAUGGGCGAAAGCCUGAUGGAGCGACGCCGCGUGGGGGAUGAAGGGCUUCGGGCUCGUAAACCCCUGUCAUUCGCGAACAAAGGUGCCAGCCUAACAUGCCGUCGCCUGAUAGUAGCGGAAGAGGAAGGGACGGCUAACUCUGUGCCAGCAGCCGCGGUAAU